rnacentral:rRNA from 1 species
UACGUGGGGGGCAAGCGUUGUUCGGAAUUAUUGGGCGUAAAGGGUGCGUAGGCGGUUUGGUAAGUCUUAUGUGAAAUCUACAGGCUCAACUUGUAGUCUGCAUGAGAAACUGCCGGGCUUGAGUAUGGGAGAGGUGAGUGGAAUUCCUGGUGUAGCGGUGAAAUGCGUAGAUAUCAGGAGGAACACCUGUGGCGAAAGCGGCUCACUGGACCAUAACUGACGCUGAUGCACGAAAGCUAGGGGAGCAAACAGG